rnacentral:rRNA from 1 species
UACGGAGGGCGCGAGCGUUACCCGGAUUUACUGGGCGUAAAGGGCGUGUAGGCGGCCUGGGGCGUCCCAUGUGAAAGACCACGGCUCAACCGUGGGGGAGCGUGGGAUACGCUCAGGCUAGACGGUGGGAGAGGGUGGUGGAAUUCCCGGAGUAGCGGUGAAAUGCGCAGAUACCGGGAGGAACGCCGAUGGCGAAGGCAGCCACCUGGUCCACUUGUGACGCUGAGGCGCGAAAGCGUGGGGAGCAAACCGG